GACGAACGCUGGCGGCGUGCCUAAUACAUGCAAGUAGAACGCACAGGAUGCACCGUAGUUUACUACACCGUAUUCUGUGAGUUGCGAACGGGUGAGUAACGCGUAGGUAACCUGCCUGGUAGCGGGGGAUAACUAUUGGAAACGAUAGCUAAUACCGCAUAAGAACAUUUACUGCAUGGUAGAUGUUUAAAAGGUGCAAAAGCAUCACUACCAGAUGGACCUGCGUUGUAUUAGCUAGUUGGUGAGGUAACGGCUCACCAAGGCAACGAUACAUAGCCGACCUGAGAGGGUGAUCGGCCACACUGGGACUGAGACACGGCCCAGACUCCUACGGGAGGCAGCAGUAGGGAAUCUUCGGCAAUGGGGGGAACCCUGACCGAGCAACGCCGCGUGAGUGAGGAAGGUUUUCGGAUCGUAAAGCUCUGUUGUUAAGGAAGAACGUGUGUGAGAGUGGAAAGUUCACACAGUGACGGUACUUAACCAGAAAAGGACGGCUAACU
rnacentral:rRNA from 1 species